AAUUGGCGCUAAAAGUCACAAGCUAUAACGGUAAGUUUAGCCACCAUUAAUAUUAACUACUACAUUCGAUCAAAAAAUAAUGCAAAUAACAAAAUAUAUCAAUAUUAAUUCAUCAAACCAUAAUAUAUCUCAUUAAAUCUUAACAAAUAAAAGGAAGUACUUCUAAAAUAUUAAUAUCACAGUAACUUAAGAAAUAAACUUAAAUUAUUUGAACUAAAUAGCUAAUGUCAUUACAUAAUUAAUCUUAACGAAUUACAAUCUUCAAAUAAUUUCUGCAACUCUUCGUCAUAUUGAAAUCUUCCACCCGCUAAAUUAUCGAACAUCAGACUCUAUGACCUGAAAUUAUAAAAUAACUAUGACAAUAGAUGAAAUACAAUAAUCAUCAAUUCCAGGCUAGUUGGAGCUUGCUUGAAAUUAUUAUUCGACAAGUCAAUUCUUCCACAUAGUAAAAGAGAACACACAAUGCUCAUGCAACGUCGGGAAGAGAAACUGCGAUAAUAGUGAACUGACCGAGACAGUGUCAGGAGCAACUACAUCAUACUACAUGGGACAACCAGUCAGUUUGGAUCUUUGUCAUGUACAUGUAUUACAAAGACAUUAAGAAAUGAUAAAAUGGAAUAACAAAAUAACAAGAACAUCAAUAUGAGAGAUGAUAUGGGACUGGAUAUUUUAUGUCAAAAAUACACAAAGCAAAACAAAGUUGACAAAACUCAAUUCAAGCUAAUGGUUGCAUGAAUUCAAACACUGUAAAAUUAGGUUAGAUAUACAGAUAGAAUUAGAAGGUGAGAACUGCAUGAAAUCUAUUGCUUUGAUGAAACUCAUGAACUGCAUCUCUUCAAAGACAGGGAUUAAACGAAUGAGUCCGUAGAGACUUUCAAUACAUUAAAGUUCCUUUUAAAGACAUGACUUUCCUAAGAUGUAUUUCAGUCAUGCAUGUCUGUCUUAGGAAAGCAUAAAGAAGGCUUUUUAAAAUGCCGAUCCAAGUAACCAUUGUGUGAUAAUGGAGAAAUAACUAGCAGGAGUAAUUUAUGUUACCAUCUCAAGAAAAAACUAGCAGGAGUUGUUUUUGCUUUCUAUCAGCCAAAGCAUAUAUUUAACCAUUUAAGCACUUCAUAACACUACAGUAAUGUUAGCAAUCUUUGAGAUAUCACAUUAUUCAGAACUUGGCAAUAGCUAUGAUGACUAAUGCAUAUUGACAAUAAAACUUGGCAAUAGCUAUGAUGACUAAUGCAUAUUGACAAUAAAAGUAGCAGCAGUGACACAAUAGUUAGUGGCAGCUGUAACAAGCAACUCAUUCCUAGCAGAAUCUGAUAAUAAAUCACCCACUUCUUCAAGUAAGAAAACAGAUAAGCCCUUUAUCAUAAUUAAAGACCAAAUUUGAAUGAAAGCAUCUACUAAAGCAAGAACUGAGUUCCAUACUAUUUCAAUGAGGUCGAUCUAAAAGGAAAGCAUGAACUCCUUGAGAAAUUUGACUUCUAAAGUAUAUUCCUAGUAUACCUAGUUAGUCAUAUGACAUAGAAAAAACAACUUUACUGCUUCAUGAAAGAUAUCAUUAAGUAACUGUCUAAUGCACAGCACCAUCAAACCAACAAUCCGGGCAGUGGAAAGAUAAGUUAUCACAGCAGCGAACUAACUAUUUGUUAAAUACCAAUCUACACAAGUUCAUGGACUUUCUAUGCCUAAAAGCAGACCAAACUCUUGCAGCUGCAAUGGAUCAGAUGCCACACUAAAGCAACUUGUUACUUGUAAGCAACACAUACUUAAGUAGAAUAUUCAGAUAAUUGAUUCAAGGCCAAAUAAUUCCUAUAGUGCUAUUGAAUGUAGUCAUGUACUGUCACUGUAUGGCCCGUGACUGCUCUGUCUCGUAGGUCGUUCACAAUUGAACUUUUCAAUGGUAUCUUAAUCUUAAAAGAAGUUUAAAAAAUGGGUUUCAACUAUUGAGUAUUGACUGGCUUUUUUAAAAUCAAUAAUAAGUAAUAAAUGAACCUCCUUUACCACAACUAUUUCAAUGACAUAGAGGAAACACUAAUACUGUAAGGACUGGAACAAGGACAUGUAAUCUACGACCCAUUUAGUAUAAUCUCCGUAUUAAACCGCACUCUAUUAUCUGAUCACCUUAAUAAUGAUCAUUAAAAGAUUAUUAUUAUUAGAAAGAAAUUCGGAAUCACUAUAACAAUAAGUACUUCAAAUAUUUAGUCCACUUUUUAAUCCAUGAGCUUCUUAAUCUCCGAGUAUUACAAUAUAAGUGUAGUAUCUUAUCGUUAUAAUACCAUUACAAUUAUAUUACCAUCUUAGAGCACACAAAAAAAGAACGGAAAUAAGUGGAUGAACUAACUUGAAGUUGGUGAGGAGAAGCACAACAACCACGGGCUUGAACACCAAUAAGAGCUUCAAUUACAUCAUUUUCUUCUUCAGGACAACAACAAACUUUGACUUCUUGUUGGUCUACAACACUAUUAAAGAGCUACUUCCAUAAAGCAUGUUAGAAGAAGACCAAGUCAUCAAGAACUAAAAAGGCAAAAGAUCAUUA
rnacentral:lncRNA from 1 species